GCCCGGGCAGCUGGGCGAGGGCUGAAGGCUCCCAGCACCUGACCCCGGCCCAGCCUGGCCUCUUCCCCCGGAAAAGAGUUAAGCUCCCUCAUCCCACCCUCAGCAGCAGUGAGGGAGGCUCAGCCUGCAGCAUGAGCUCACGCCCAUCCACACUCCAAACCGCCCAGACCAAGGGGCAGCGCCAUGGUGUAGACCCAGAGCAAGCACAGGGGAUGGAGGAGGGGGGGCAAGCCAGAGACCAGGAGCUGGGGUGCUGGCCCCUCCCACAGCCCCUCUGACCCUUUCCUGCAGACCCACUUGGGCCUCUGCCCUCUUUGGAGGGACCCAGGGACGGAGUGGGUGGGGCUAGGGUCCUCAGGGGCCCAGGUCUGAUGGAAGAGAGUCCCGAGUACAAGUGUUUCCUGCUCCUGGAGGGGCUGGGGGAGGGAGGGGCUGGUCGAGGAGGAGGGUAGAGAGUCCAGUCACUGAAGUCGCCCGGCCCGGCACUCCAGGCACCCACCUCAGGCUGCAGGGCCUGUGGAGACUCCAUCCCAGCUGAGGCCCAGGGCCCACUUUCGGUUCCACUAACGUUGGGCUGCACGUGAACUUGCAGAAUCCGGGGCUGGGUCCUGUGGGGGACGCAGAGAUGAAUGAGGCCCAGCCUGCGCCUCCAGGGAGCUUGCAACGUGUCCCUGAUCGCUGCCUCCAUCAAAGGCAUGUGACAGCCCGCCCGCCCGCCCGCCCGGGGAAGAAGAAAGAGCCGGCUUCCCAGGGGAGGGAUGGCAGCCUGAGGAGUGAGGUGAUUGUUGAAGCUUAAAGGACCAUUAGGAUGUCAAGAGGCAGAAAUGAGGGGCACUCAUUGUAGGGGAACAGCGAGAGCAAAACCAUGGAGGUGCGAGCAUGUUCUGGAACGUUCCUGCCGUCUGGUUUGACUGGUGCACACGGGGAAAUAGUGACCUACUCACUCUUUCCGUGGAUAAGUCAUCGAAUGUGCCAGUGACUUCGUCUAGACAGGCCGAGGGCUCCCAGGGCAAAGACCCACAGGUCCACAGACCCACAGGUCCACAGACCCACAGGUCCACAGACCUACAGGUUCGCAGACCGGAGCAGGGAGGCACAGAGGCCGAAGAGACUUGCUGGGAGGCACAGAGGACAUUAGUGAUUCAGGUUUUGGCGUCCUGUGAAGGGGGCGCAUGCUUGCAUUCCCGUGGGACCUCAACUUCUGCAGGGCGUGCAGCACCCUCUUCUGCGUUCCCGGGAGCCACGCCCCACAGGUGAGGCUGCUGCUCCGUGGAGAACCAGCUCCCUCCUCUUAGACCUCCAGGGCCGGAGCUCUGGCCGCCCUGCUGGGAGGAUGUGGGGAAAAUACUUCACAUUCUUUCCUGAAGGAUUCACGGCCAAGAAAACCAGAUAUGGCUGAUUUAUCCAUCGGGCUCCUCCGCCACAUUCAGCAGAGCUGAGUGAAUCCCCCCUGUCCUACUUCCCACAGCGAAAGGGGGUCCCCGAAAAUAUGGCCGAGGCCACGCUGUGCACCAGGCGAAGGCCGCACCGUGACACGGGAAGAUGGCCGUGACGGAAUCCCAUCGUCAGCUGAAAAAGCAGCUUUUAAAGCAGCAUUACAGCGUGAGCCAGUUUUUUCAUAAACAUCAAAUGACAUAUUUAGACGAAGAAAAGACCUGAGACGGCACACACCAACAUCCUUAUGUCCUCUGUGUGGUGAGGUGACGGGCCAUUUUCCUUUACUCCUCUGAGCUUGUUCCCACAUCCUAACAAUUCUACAGUGAGUGCAAUGACCUCUUCUUGGAGAGUAUCUGAAGAAAAAGUACUUUUCAAUGAUAAAAGUAAUGCAGACUCAUGACAAAAAUCUAAGCAAGCAGAUGUAUGUUCCACAAAAGCGAAAGCCUCUUUCUGGACGCUACACCCCUCCUGUGAGCGUUUCCCAGGAAAACCCGGACGACGGCGGCGAUGCCUGCCUUUUGGGGGUUUUGUCACAAUCGAGUGAGUUAAUACAUGUACAGCGGUUAGAGCCGUGCCUGGCAUAUAAAAAGCAUACGCGAAUUUUA